CAACACCCGGCCGCGCGUCGCGAAAAGAGGCAGCGCCGUUUUCCUGCAUCUCGCCCGCGAGAAAUUUUCACCAACCGCAGGCUGCGUCGGACUCACCAAAAACGCGAUGCUGAGAUUGCUGUCGCGGUUGGGACCGGAGACGAAAAUCGUGAUCGGCUGAACGCUCGCGAAAAUCAGCGAUGACCGAAGAUCGCGGAGCCAACACGCACAUGGGUAGCGCCGAGCUGAAUCGCGGUGGCGAAAUC
rnacentral:misc_RNA from 1 species